rnacentral:lncRNA from 1 species
UGAUAGUUUUGUUGGGAAAAUUUCAGAAUUAUCAACAAAAUCGGCAGCACUAGGAGAGGUCAUUGAGGAACCAAAGGUGGUUAAGAAAUUUCUUCAUAGCCUACCAAGAAAGAAAUACAUACAUAUCAUUGCUGCCUUAGAACAAGUUCUUGAUCUCAACAAGACAAGCUUUGAGGAUAUCAUAGGACGGCUAAAAGCAUAUGAAGAGAGAAUCAAUGAUGAAGAAGAAGAAGAAAAACAAGAAGAUCAGGGGCAAAGCAAACUAAUGUAUGCUAAUAACGACUCACAGCAGCAACCUUACCAAGAAAAAUAUGACUACACGAGAGGUAGAGGCAGAGGUGGUCGUUACGGCUAUCGAGGAAGAGGCCGUGGACGAUACGGAAAUCAAAGGAAUGGAGGAUACUACCGCCAAGAACGAGAUGCAUCAAGGGUGGUAUGUUAUCGAUGUGAUAAGAUAGGACACUUCGUCCAGAACUGUCCUGAUCUCUUACUUAAGCUGCAAGAAACACAAGAAAGUGAAGCGGAUACUACACGAGAAGCUGAUGAAUUGAUGGUCAAUGAGAUAGUGUAUCUCAAUGAGCGGAAGGUCAUACCAAACAAACUCGAUGCAACUACAGCUAGUGAGAACUUGUGGUACUUAGAUAAUGGAGCCAGUAACCACAUGACUGGAAAUCUCGAGUAUUUUUCGAGGAUUGAUCGGAGCAUAACUGGGAAGGUGAGGUUUGGUGAUGAUUCUCGGAUAGAUAUAACAGGCAAAGGCUCAAUCAACUUGGUCACGAAGAACGGUGAAAG